rnacentral:rRNA from 1 species
UACGUAGGGUGCAAGCGUUAAUCGGAAUUACUGGGCGUAAAGCGUGCGCAGGCGGUGAUGUAAGACAGGUGUGAAAUCCCCGGGCUUAACCUGGGAACUGCAUUUGUGACUGCAUCGCUGGAGUGCGGCAGAGGGGGAUGGAAUUCCGCGUGUAGCAGUGAAAUGCGUAGAGAUGCGGAGGAACACCGAUGGCGAAGGCACUUUACUGGGCUAUUACUAACACUCAGAGACGAAAGCUAGGGUAGCAAAUGGG